rnacentral:rRNA from 1 species
GACGAACCGUGCGAACGUUGUUCGGAAUCACUGGGCUUAAAGGGCGCGUAGGCGGCCACACAAGUCCGGGGUGAAAUCUUUCGGCUCAACCGGAAAAGUGCCUCUGAUACUGUGUGGCUCGAGGGAGGUAGGGGCGGACGGAACUUCCGGUGGAGCGGUGAAAUGCGUUGAUAUCGGAAGGAACGCCGGUGGCGAAAGCGGUCCGCUGGCCCUCUUCUGACGCUGAGGCGCGAAAGCCAGGGGAGCAAACGGG